GGCCCCGUGGUCUAGUGGUAAUGAUGCCGGCUUUUCAAGCCGAGCGACGCCGGUUCGAAUCCGGUCGGGGCUA
rnacentral:tRNA from 1 species